CAGGCCUAACACAUGCAAGUCGGACGGACUUUUCCUCGAAGGUUUCGGCCGGAAGGGAGAAGUUAGUGGCGGACGGGUGAGUAACGCGUGGGUAACCUACCUCACAUUGGGGGAUAACGAUUGGAAACGAUCGCUAACACCGCAUAAGACCACGGCACCGCAUGGUGCAGGGGUAAAAACUCCGGUGAUGUGAGAUGGACCCGCGUCUGAUUAGCCAGUUGGCGGGGUAACGGCCCACCAAAGCGACGAUCAGUAGCCGACCUGAGAGGGUGAUCAGCCACAUUGGGACUGAGACACGGCCCAAACUCCUACGGGAGGCAGCAGUGGGGAAUAUUGCACAAUGGGGGAAACCCUGAUGCAGCGACGCCGCGUGAGUGAAGAAGUAUUUCGGUAUGUAAAGCUCUUUAAGCAGGAAAGAUGAUGACGGUACCUGCAGAAUAAGCGCCGGCUAAAUACGUGCCAGCAGCCGCGGUAAUACGUAUGGCGCAAGCGUUAUCCGGAUUUACUGGGUGUAAAGGGAGCGUAGGUGGCCUGGCAAGCCAGAAGUGAAAACCCGGGGCUCAACCCCGCGGAUUGCUUUUGGAACUGUUGGGCUGGAAUGCGGUCGAGGCGGGCGGAACGUGGCGUGUAGCGGUGAAAUGCGUAGAUAUGCCACAGAACGCCGAUAGCGAAGGCAGCUCGCCAGGCCUGCAUUGACGCUCGGGCACGAAAGCGUGGGGAUCGAACAGGAUUAGAUACCCUGGUAGUCCACGCCGUAAACGAUGGGCGCUCGUCGUCGGCGACAGAUGGUCGGCGGCCAAGCGAAAGCGAUAAGCGCCCCACCUGGGGAGUACGGUCGCAAGGCUGAAACUCAAAGGAAUUGACGGGGGCCCGCACAAGCGGUGGAGCAUGUGGUUUAAUUCGAUGAUACGCGAGGAACCUUACCCGGGCUUGAACUGCAGGGGAACGACGGGGAGACCCGGAGGUCCGCAAGGACUCCUGCAGAGGUGCUGCAUGGUUGUCGUCAGCUCGUGCCGUGAGGUGUCGGGUCAAGUCCCAUAACGAGCGCAACCCCUGCGUCCAGUUGCCAGCGGUCAGGCCGGGCACUCUGGACGGACUGCCCACGCAAGUGGAGAGGAAGGCGGGGAUGACGUCAAAUCAGCACGGCCCUUACGUCCGGGGCGACACACGUGCUACAAUGGCCGUCACAGAGGGAAGCCACCCGGCGACGGGGAGCGGAUCCCGAAAGGCGGUCACAGUCCGGAUCGGGGGCUGCAACCCGCCCCCGUGAAGCUGGAAUCGCUAGWAAWCGCGCAUCAGCCAUGGCGCGGUGAAUACGUUCCCGG
rnacentral:rRNA from 1 species